GGUUAAGCGACUAAGCGUACACGGUGGAUGCCCUGGCAGUCAGAGGCGAUGAAGGACGUGCUAAUCUGCGAAAAGCGUCGGUAAGGUGAUAUGAACCGUUAUAACCGGCGAUGUCCGAAUGGGGAAACCCAGUGCAAUUCGUUGCACUAUCGUUAACUGAAUACAUAGGUUAACGAGGCGAACCGGGGGAACUGAAACAUCUAAGUACCCCGAGGAAAAGAAAUCAACCGAGAUUCCCCCAGUAGCGGCGAGCGAACGGGGAGCAGCCCAGAGUCUGAAUCAGCUUGUGUGUUAGUGGAACGGUCUGGAAAGUCCGACGGUACAGGGUGAUAGUCCCGUACACCAAAAUGCACAGGUUGUGAACUCGAAGAGUAGGGCGGGACACGUGGUAUCCUGUCUGAAUAUGGGGGGACCAUCCUCCAAGGCUAAAUACUCCUGACUGACCGAUAGUGAACCAGUACCGUGAGGGAAAGGCGAAAAGAACCCCGGCGAGGGGAGUGAAAAAGAACCUGAAACCGUGUACGUACAAGCAGUGGGAGCACCUUCGGGUGUGACUGCGUACCUUUUGUAUAAUGGGUCAGCGACUUAUAUUCUGUAGCAAGGUUAACCGUAUAGGGGAGCCGCAGGGAAACCGAGUCUUAACUGGGCGUUAAGUUGCAGGGUAUAGACCCGAAACCCGGUGAUCUAGCCAUGGGCAGGUUGAAGGUUGGGUAACACUAACUGGAGGACCGAACCGACUAAUGUUGAAAAAUUAGCGGAUGACUUGUGGCUGGGGGUGAAAGGCCAAUCAAACCGGGAGAUAGCUGGUUCUCCCCGAAAGCUAUUUAGGUAGCGCCUCGUGAAUUCAUCUUCGGGGGUAGAGCACUGUUUCGGCUAGGGGGUCAUCCCGACUUACCAACCGAUGCAAACUACGAAUACCGAAGAAUGUUAUCACGGGAGACACACGGCGGGUGCUAACGUCCGUCGUGAAGAGGGAAACAACCCAGACCGCCAGCUAAGGUCCCAAAGUCAUGGUUAAGUGGGAAACGAUGUGGGAAGGCACAGACAGCCAGGAUGUUGGCUUAGAAGCAGCCAUCAUUUAAAGAAAGCGUAAUAGCUCACUGGUCGAGUCGGCCUGCGCGGAAGAUGUAACGGGGCUAAACCAUGCACCGAAGCUGCGGCAGCGACACUAUGUGUUGUUGGGUAGGGGAGCGUUCUGUAAGCCUGCGAAGGUGUGCUGUGAGGCAUGCUGGAGGUAUCAGAAGUGCGAAUGCUGACAUAAGUAACGAUAAAGCGGGUGAAAAGCCCGCUCGCCGGAAGACCAAGGGUUCCUGUCCAACGUUAAUCGGGGCAGGGUGAGUCGACCCCUAAGGCGAGGCCGAAAGGCGUAGUCGAUGGGAAACAGGUUAAUAUUCCUGUACUUGGUGUUACUGCGAAGGGGGGACGGAGAAGGCUAUGUUAGCCGGGCGACGGUUGUCCCGGUUUAAGCAUGUAGGCUGAUUAUCCAGGCAAAUCCGGAUAAUCAAGGCUGAGGUGUGAUGACGAGGCACUACGGUGCUGAAGUAACAAAUGCCCUGCUUCCAGGAAAAGCCUCUAAGCAUCAGGUAACAUCAAAUCGUACCCCAAACCGACACAGGUGGUCAGGUAGAGAAUACCAAGGCGCUUGAGAGAACUCGGGUGAAGGAACUAGGCAAAAUGGUGCCGUAACUUCGGGAGAAGGCACGCUGGUGUGUAGGUGAAGCCCCUGCGGGUGGAGCUGAGACCAGUCGAAGAUACCAGCUGGCUGCAACUGUUUAUUAAAAACACAGCACUGUGCAAACACGAAAGUGGACGUAUACGGUGUGACGCCUGCCCGGUGCCGGAAGGUUAAUUGAUGGGGUUAUCCGUAAGGAGAAGCUCUUGAUCGAAGCCCCGGUAAACGGCGGCCGUAACUAUAACGGUCCUAAGGUAGCGAAAUUCCUUGUCGGGUAAGUUCCGACCUGCACGAAUGGCGUAAUGAUGGCCAGGCUGUCUCCACCCGAGACUCAGUGAAAUUGAACUCGCUGUGAAGAUGCAGUGUACCCGCGGCAAGACGGAAAGACCCCGUGAACCUUUACUAUAGCUUGACACUGAACAUUGAGCCUUGAUGUGUAGGAUAGGUGGGAGGCUUUGAAGCGUGGACGCCAGUCUGCGUGGAGCCAACCUUGAAAUACCACCCUUUAAUGUUUGAUGUUCUAACGUUGGCCCCUUACCGGGGUUGCGGACAGUGUCUGGUGGGUAGUUUGACUGGGGCGGUCUCCUCCUAAAGCGUAACGGAGGAGCACGAAGGUUAGCUAAUCCUGGUCGGACAUCAGGAGGUUAGUGCAAUGGCAUAAGCUAGCUUGACUGCGAGCGUGACGGCGCGAGCAGGUGCGAAAGCAGGUCAUAGUGAUCCGGUGGUUCUGAAUGGAAGGGCCAUCGCUCAACGGAUAAAAGGUACUCCGGGGAUAACAGGCUGAUACCGCCCAAGAGUUCAUAUCGACGGCGGUGUUUGGCACCUCGAUGUCGGCUCAUCACAUCCUGGGGCUGAAGUAGGUCCCAAGGGUAUGGCUGUUCGCCAUUUAAAGUGGUACGCGAGCUGGGUUUAGAACGUCGUGAGACAGUUCGGUCCCUAUCUGCCGUGGGCGCUGGAGAAUUGAGGGGGGCUGCUCCUAGUACGAGAGGACCGGAGUGGACGCAUCACUGGUGUUCGGGUUGUCAUGCCAAUGGCACUGCCCGGUAGCUAAAUGCGGAAGAGAUAAGUGCUGAAAGCAUCUAAGCACGAAACUUGCCCCGAGAUGAGUUCUCCCUGAGACUUUAAGUCUCCUGAAGGAACGUUGAAGACGACGACGUUGAUAGGCCGGGUGUGUAAGCGCAGCGAUGCGUUGAGCUAACCGGUACUAAUGAACCGUGAGGCUUAACCUU
rnacentral:rRNA from 1 species